UUUUUUUGGUCAUUCGCUGCUUCUUCUUUCUUCUUGUAUUUUUUUUAAGCUGUGCCGAUCUUCUUUCAUUACAGAUAUGGAUGCAGACGCAGCUCGAAUGAUAGCCAAGGGUCUCAAGACCCACAAGAGGAAAGGCACUGCGACUUCUGGGUCGGCGAAGAAAGCAAAAGUAGGGGAGACGAGCUCGACCGCUCCUGCCCAGGUAGUCAUUGUCGUUGACGCCCCCUCCGAC
rnacentral:lncRNA from 1 species